rnacentral:lncRNA from 1 species
CGGCGAUUCAUGAUCUUAAUGCUGUAGAGUGCCCCGAGGAUAAAGAGAGCUCCAGCUAUCCCGACUCCUACGGGAACCAGCAUCCCCGACAUGUACCCUGCCUUAUCUUUCAGCUUCUCCAUCCAGCUUCUCACCAGCCCCUGGUUCUGCUGCUCCCACUCAAUGGUAUCAGGAACCUGGUAGGACACCCCAGCCAGCUGG